rnacentral:rRNA from 1 species
GACGAACGCUGGCGGCGUGCUUAACACAUGCAAGUCGAACGAGGUCCAAGCGCUAGCAAUAGCGUGGAAGACCUAGUGGCGAACGGGUGAGUAACACGUGAGGAACCUACCCCGGACUCAGGGAUAACGGCUGGAAACGGCUGCUAAUACCUGAUGCCGUCGGAGCAUCACAUGGUGCACUGACGAAAGAAUCUCGGUUCGGGAGGGCCUCGCGGCCUAUCAGCUGUUGGUGGGGUAACGGCCUACCAAGGCAUCGACGGGUAGCUGGUCUGAGAGGAUGAUCAGCCACACUGGGACUGAGACACGGCCCAGACUCCUACGGGAGGCAGCAGUGGGGAAUCUUGCGCAAUGGGCGAAAGCCUGACGCAGCAACGCCGCGUGCGGGAAGAAGGCCCUAGGGUUGUAAACCGCUUUCAGUAGGAACGAAAAUGACGGUACCUGCAG